UGAAUUUGUAUUAUGUUAUUUCCCUCAAUUAAUGAUACCGUAUCAAAAGUGAUAUCUUAAUUGAGGGAAAUAACAUGUUACGAAACUGCUUGUUUCUUGGUGGGCUGGCUCAUCGGUUUCUCUGGGUGCAGUCCCAUCCCUGCCCCGCAGUCCGCACAAUCGAUAACAACAAAGCUACACUCCUGUAGCAAAACAGACUUACACAACACUAUGAAAAACGAACCACAAAUCGAUAGCAUCAAACAAUCGGAACUUCUAACAGAUGAACAACAUAAACAGCUGUGACGAUAAGUAAAUAUCGGGCCCGGUACCCGCCCAACCAUGAGACGAUCACCUACUCGUCUCUCACUUUUGGCAAUGGCCAAAAUGGCCAAUGGCCAUCUAAUGAGAUUGCCAUCAGCCUGGGCCGGCAGUUAUACCAACUCUCCCCCAUCAAAGAAAAUUUAGCCGAACACUUCUCUCUUCAGAUACGGUUAUCUUCAAGCUGCUAUUGAUAAAUUCGUACACGCGAACAUUUCCGGCAUUUUAAAAUAGGUGCAUACGAUAAAUUGGUAUAUUCUUAUAUUUAGAACAAUUUAAUUUUAAAUUUCAAUUUUUUCACUUCUUUCAACUUUGCUUCAACAAGUAUCUAUAACGUGUUGCAUCAUUUCAUAUUUAUAACAAUAUCUGUUAAUCUUAAAAAUAUUAAUUUUUUUUGU